UGGGGAGUACGGCCGCAAGGUUAAAACUCAAAUGAAUUGACGGGGGCCCGCACAAGCGGUGGAGCAUGUGGUUUAAUUCGAUGCAACGCGAAGAACCUUACCUACUCUUGACAUCCAGCGAAUCCUUUAGAGAUAGAGGAGUGCCUUCGGGAACGCUGAGACAGGUGCUGCAUGGCUGUCGUCAGCUCGUGUUGUGAAAUGUUGGGUUAAGUCCCGCAACGAGCGCAACCCUUAUCCUUUGUUGCCAGCGCGUAAUGGUGGGAACUCAAAGGAGACUGCCGGUGAUAAACCGGAGGAAGGUGGGGAUGACGUCAAGUCAUCAUGGCCCUUACGAGUAGGGCUACACACGUGCUACAAUGGCAGAUACAAAGAGAAGCGACCUCGCGAGAGCAAGCGGAACUCAUAAAGUCUGUCGUAGUCCGGAUUGGAGUCUGCAACUCGACUCCAUGAGGUCGGAAUCGCUAGUAAUCGUAGAUCAGAAUGCUACGGUGAAUACGUUCCCGGGCCUUGUGCACACCGCCCGUCACACCAUGGGAGUGGGUUGCAAAAGAAGUAGGUAGCUUAACCUUCGGGAGGGCGCUUACCACUUUGUGAUUCAUGACUGGGGUGAAGUCGUAACAAGGUAACCAAGGGCGAAUUCGCGGCC
rnacentral:rRNA from 1 species